rnacentral:rRNA from 1 species
UUUCCGAUUUUAAUCGGAACAUUGAAACAGGUGCUGCAUGGCUGUCGUCAGCUCGUGUUGUGAGAUGUUGGGUUAAGUCCCGCAACGAGCGCAACCCUUACCCUUAGUUGCCAGCGAGUAAUGUCGGGGACUCUAGGGGAACUGCCCAGAACAACUGGGAGGAAGGUGAGGACGACGUCAAGUCAUCAUGGCCCUUAUGUCCAGGGCUACACACGUGCUACAAUGGUCGGUACAAAGGGCAGCGAACUCGCGAGAGUAAGUGAAUCCCAUAAAACCGGUCUCAGUUCGGAUUGCAGGCUGAAAUUCGCCUGCAUGAAGUUGGAAUCGCUAGUAAUCGUGGGUCAGCAAUACCACGG